UGCCUUUCAAGAUGAGGCAGAGAUCCUUGUCUUGCAAUGCCCAGUGUGCUAAGCUUUCUCACUUCCAGCAGUGGGGAAGGGUCAGAGAUUGUGUUGUUGUAUGCAUCCUCGGUGGCAUUAUUAACUGGAGCUUUUCAAACAGACGAAGUAUGUUACUGUGGCUAAAUUGUAAUGAAAGAAGAGAUGGCUGUUUGCCAAUAAAUGACUGACAGUGGCUCCAGGGUGUGCGGUGCUGCGUGUUCUGGCUCAGUCCCAGCGAUGCCCUUAACUCUACCACAUGCCAUAUGCAACAAAGUGCAGAGAUGGACUAUAGGCUUCCAGCGAGUUACCACUGCCAAGGAGGAUGCAAAGACAGGCAGUUUCCUGGAUACUGAGCUUAUUCUUGUGUGGAAAGUGCAGUAAAGACACCUUUCUACACUGAAGGAAGCUAAAGUGAGUGUCGAUGGAAAUACUGCUGAUAAAAGUGUGUAUUAAAAAUGAAAAUAGACAAGAGGAUGUUAAGUACAAAAAAGAAGUUACUUCGAUUUGAUGGCUGAGCACAAAUAGCUGCUUACAGGUAAGCUCAGGAAGUGUGAGAGACAAGUGAACGGUGAGGUGGAUUGAGAACUGGCUGACUGGCAGAGCUCGGAUAGUUAUGAUCAGUGACACAAAGUCCAGCUGGAGGCAUGUGGCUAGCGGUGUUCCCCAGGGCAUCCCCUGCUUUCUUGAAGACAAUGUACCAUAUCACCGUGGGGAAAAAAGAAAAGCAGAUUUCUCUGGACAGCAAUCAUCCUUCAGCUUCUAAGAAAGAACAGUCUCACUAGACAAGAUGACAAAGAAAAGUGGCCCCUUGGAUAAGCGACUCAUCACUUCUUCUGCCAUCACUUCUCACGUUAAUUCCAGUGACUACAGUACUACAAUGAAAAUGGAACAUAGGAGUUUUCGUAAGCAUCUACUGGAUCUACCACUUCUUCAGUCACCUUGUCAAGGACCAGUUACUGAUCCCACAUCACAACAGUGGAAUUUAUGAGAGGAGCAAAGAAAAUAACAAAUCCACAUCUUGAGGGAAAGAAGACAUUUGUCUGAAAGUCUGGCUUCAUUUUUGAGAUGGCAGCUGCUUGGAACUGUUGACAGAUUGAGAGUGUUGGAAAUUGUCCUGGGCCAGAUGGAUUAGUGAUCUAAGUUCAGGUGAAGUGGUCAAAGAUGCUUUAUAAAUGCCAUUUCCAACAUAGCUAUCACCACUACAUUGUGGUAUAGGUAACAGAGUUAUUUUAGAACAUGAAACUGAGUUACUGUAGAUAAGUCUCACCUAGUUUAGUUCUUAUAUCUUUCUCCCUGUCUGCUGAAACAAUUGCAGUAAUCUGAAACAUUCCAGCUAGUUCUCCUAAUUGAAUUAGGGUGGGCUGAAGGCAAGAUACCUGGGCAAGGGUAGUAAAGACCUUUUAGUCAAGCAAUCACUUUCAGUCUUUUUCUGUUAUUUCCAGUUAUUCGAAUACAUUGAUCAGAUUCAGAGCCAUGUUAUAAGGAAUUUUCCAAGGAAUAAAAAUGAAUUGAGCAAGCAAGAAAUGAGAAGGGGAGAAAUCGAAGAGUUCCAUGAGAAUUAGGUGGAUUCCUUUUCUCACACUGUUACAUUUAAUUUGUUAUUGUGCAUGCUUUCACAGAUUGCCCACUGUUCCCUGAUGGUCUGAGGAACAUCUCAGAAGUACAGGUUCAGAGAUCCACCUAUCUCCAUUGCUUCCAUUUGUGCCAAAAUCCCAGAAAAUGCGUGGCAGAGACCUCUGUCAAGCAUCGCUUUACCCAACACAGCUUGGUUUGAAAAUAGUCCAGAAGAUCUGUCUGCUGUUCCUGAACCCAAUGCCAAACCAGGUCUGAGCAGGAAGGCUGUAGUUUUCAAGGUAUCUUAAGCAUGUUUUCCCCUGAUUUUACUACACAGGUGAAAAAAUACUUAAAACAUCAGCCAUCAUUGUUUUGAACUGUUAUGAUGUAACAUGCUAUGUUAAACAUGCUGUGAUGUAACAAUUUUGUUCAAAAAUUGAAAUAAAUAGUUGACAUAUUUCACAAAUGAGAUUAGGUCUAAUACAGUAAAAAUAAUAUUUUGUGGAAACUGAGCAACAUUUAAACUGGUUUGUAAGACAUAUAGACUAUUUUGGGCUAAGUAUCAUUUUGAGACCAAGACACUUGAAGUAUAUUAGUUAGCCUCUGUUAAAUUGUUAUUAAAUACAAUAUGUAAUUAAGCUGAAGUAAUCUAAUUAGGCAUCCAACUGACGAGGGUUUCCAGUUGACUGAGAUUUUGCAGUGCCCGUUUUGUACAUGCCAGUAAAUGUUAACCUUCUUUGUGAGCAGCUGACCCUUGAAAAGAUGCCCCACUAAGAGAUCAUAUCAUAUAUAGUAUGGUCUAAACAUAAUCCUGACCGCAGAAAGGUCAAGAUUUUCCACUGUCUUUCAUGUAAAACCUUAGGGACAAUUUAUUUUUCUGUUUCUCAAGCAGAAUUGUUUGUUGAGCUUCCUCUUCUUUGUUUCUGUUUUCUGAAUCUCAAAUUACUAAUUGCAUAUGCAGCAAAGCUAAAGGAGAUUCAAUAGGGUAUUCUGUACUUCAGAGAGGAUUAAACUUCUUCCAUAUAGACCAAUAUUCUCAAAGGGUCUAAUUCGUUACUAUUAAGUGGGAAUGUUGGUUGGUUGUGAAUAGAAGAAUUUCCUGUAUAUACAUGUACAUUUAAAAACUGUUUGGAUAUGGUGCUCAGGGGUACGAGCUGUUAGAGUAGUUAGUAUAAGUAGGCUGCAGUUGGACUUGAUUUUUAAGGUCUUUUCCAACCUGACCAAUUCUAUGACUGUAUGUAUAUGUACAUAAACAUUUAAAUACAGACUAUGUAAAUGUCCAUUCUUGUAGAUGAAAUAAGGCUUAUGCUUCUCUGAGGAAGGCAAGUGAGUGAGGCCUGCAGCACUAUAAAGCGGUGUUCUUAGGGUACGAUGUUAAUAGCUUGCCUAAUUGCCUGAAAGGGAACACUUUAUGUAAACAGUGAUUUCAUGGAAUUUAUGUAUGUCAAAAAGCAAAACAUACCCAGAUAUGAAACUAUAUGUAGUGUAUUGGGUAUUAAGUGGGGUGCUGUAUUUCCUUAAAAAAUAGCCUGAAUAAACUGUCUUCCAAGUGUGCAAUAGCUAGCAGGUGGUGAUUUGAUUGGCAACCAAACAUUCGGUAACAUGUUCAAAAGCUCUUAACAGGAACCAGUUGGUAACUAAAAGAAAACAGGAAAAAAAACAAAUGCUACAAUAUUUGCAAUUUACAAUAUUACCUAUAGACCUGAGAAAGAACUUCUGAAGACUUAUUGAAACUGUAUUUCACAGAGCUAUUACAAGCACAAAACUAGGGUACAUAUUUAGCUAUCUUCUCAGCUGAGUUCUUAAUAAUGGACUUCAGGGCCUUUACCCUACUCUUAGUACUGUUUUAAUAGUUAUAUAGUGUGCACACGUACAAGGGGAGAGUGCUGGCAUCCCUGUCUUUUUUUCUUCCUUUUCUAAUGAAAUGCCUGAACCUUAAGCUAGAGCCAGGUUUCUUCUUGGCUGUACUCCUUCUGGCCCAUGAUGCAGCAUUUCUGGCUGUACUUCAAGAGAAAGGGUGGAGAACAAGUUAACCAAAAUACCUCAUGGCCUAAGCACUUCCAUAACAUAUGAAAGAUAUGGGUUCAAGCAUUCUCAGCUUGAAGAAAGCACAGAACUCAUAAUUCCUUGACGAAUUAGUGGAAUAUUAUAUAAAAGGGUGAUUACUGGAACAUCCGAGUGCUUGUAUGUUAUCACAUUUAACUUUGGAGGAUAUUAAUGUGGAAUUUAUAUGGCUCUCUGCCUAAACCUGGACUACAGCAGAAUGCUAUGAAGGGUAUAACAUACAAUGUUUGCCACUCCAGAACAGGCUCUUUCAAUCAUUCAAGUUGCUUCUGGGCUAAGUGCAGAGAUAGAUUGUAUCUGUAUAGGUUAGUUUUUUCCCCGUGUAUAAAAACCAAUUGAUCACAGAAGGUGUGAAAACAACAAUGUUCAGUGAUUGGCUGUUGUGACUUCAGGUGUUACCUGGGGAAUUUUGCUGUUAUUGUUUUGACAAUAUUAUUUGUAUUACUUUUCUAAGUAAUACAGUAAGAAAAACUUGAGAUUUGGAGAAGUUACAUGUGGGAAAGGAUAUGAUUUUCCUCAAUUGAUUGGCUUCACGGCUCAUGUUCUUUCUGGCAUAUUUUACCUCUAAAAUCUACUGUGUAAGCAAUCCAUGAGCAAAAUAGUUUUACUCCUACAGCUUAAAAAAACCACUGUAUUUGUAUAAAUGCAUUCAGUAUAAUUUUGAAGUUAGUCAUGAUCAAUACAGGGCUACCCUGUUUAAUCAUCAGAUCAAUUAAAACUAAGGAUCUGGUUCUGCCACCACUACAAAGAAAAACAGUUUAGUCUGAGGGGCAGCAUCCAGACUGCUGCUAUCCCUACCUUUAAAUAAAGCACAUGUUCAACUGAAUCAAGGCCCUCAGAAAGCAAGAAGUGCCACAAAUACUUCUGCAUUUGCAACAUUUAAUUUAGCUGUGUUUCCGUGGUCUUAAUGUCCUGAAGCCAUAACAGAAAUAAAAGACUGCUGGCAGACUCCAUUUGAAAUAUUAGAAGAGUAGCCAAAGGCUUACUGUUUAUUUACACACCUAAACAUAAAUAAACCUCUCAUGCACCACUUUUACCCAGAGGCUAAAGCACAUAGUUUUACAGUAAGGUCAUACUUGUCCUCAUGUUUUGGAAGCGUAGUCUCUCUUUUAAGGUUCACAAUUAAUUUUGUUCCAGCUCUGGAUUUGUAAAUCCAUCUACUUUCAAAGAACUCAAAAGCUUCUUAAAAAAUGAAGAUUGCUUUAAUUCACAUGCAGCAUUAAGCCUGAUCUGGAAAAAAAAAAAAAGGCCAUUUAAACCACAUGUACACACAUAAUUUCUUAAGAAUAUGUCAUAGAAUCACAGAAUUGUUUGAGUUGGAAGCAACUCUUAAAUGUCAUCUAGUCCAACUGGAAUGAACAGGGACAUAUGCAGCUUGAUCAGAUUGCUAAGAACCCCGUGCAGCCUGAGUAGCUUGUACAUGGUGACAGCCUCACUCUACUUGUAGAAAUCAUCCCCCUCAGGUUUCAAUGACAGCAUCUAUGUCAUAAUUUUCUAGUAGCAGAAUGUGUAAUUUGAGAGGGCAUUACUUGGUAUUACAGAGGCCAAAGUACUAGAAGAACUGGCAGACAAAAACAUCUUAUUCUGAACGCAGAUGAGAGGUGUAAUACCCUUGCACAUACUGCUGGGAAGAUUAAUAUUUAAACUGAAAAUCAGUAUUGACCACGUUCGUAUUUGAAAAUAAAUAGAAUAUCUAUUCAGUUCAAUUUAAACUUCUUCCUUCUUCGUAUCUGUCUUCCAGUCCAACACUAGCUUGCAGGAAUAACUGUAAGGUUGCUUAAAUUAUUUCUAGAGCCAGGAAGCUGUAGUACUGUGGACAAAGUCUGGAUAAAUAUUCAAGCUACAGGAUAUUGAAUAUAUUUAAGAGUUGGAUGCUAGUCUACAAUACAUACCUCCUGCCGUUCUUCAGGCUGCAGGAGAUAUAAGCUGAUUUAAAGAGUGAAUUUUGGAGCUUCUCUUUGCAUAGUGAGGUUAGCUCGGUGCUGUGUCCUUCUGUAGCAAUGGUGUUCAGAUUCAGACAAGUGAAUGUUGUCAGGGUGGCAUCUCCUCUAUUAAUUCCUGGCCAAACUAAAAGCCUGCAUGGAACAUAGCAACUGAGAUUCCUGACCAAUUUAAUUCUACUGACCUGUCACUCAGCACUAAGAAACCCCUGCUUAAUUUUAAGACCUAGUCUCACAAAAACACUGUAUUCACUAAGUAGACCAGUCUGAAAUGGAUCUACUCACUAAAGGAAAAAUAAAAAUCAAUUCAAUGCAAUAAUCCUCUGAUUCCUCAAGUUAUUUUAGUAAGUAGUUUGUUAUAACCUAGAAUAUUCUGAUCUAAAGCUAACCAUUUAUAAAGCUCAGAUGAGUCUGACCUUCAGGGAAUGUAACCCACUGUUUUGCUUUCUGUUGGUUCAUCACCCAAGCACAGAACUAAACUUUUCCAAAUCUGUCCUAUGCAAUAGCAGAACUGAGCCCAGAGAUUAUUUGUGCCUUAUUCUUCCAUAGGCUUCCUGGGUGCAUUUGUAAGUUGUUUCAGUUCUAUUCUUGUGUUUGUGAACUUCACUGGUUCUAAUGACUAGCUAAGCUUUCCCUUGUCCUCUCUGACCUAGACUAUAGCUUGCUGGGAGUAUGGACUGAGUUCUCUGAAAAACCUCUUCACAACAUCUAGCACAAUGGAGCUCUUAAUAUGUAAGGAUCUAAUACAAUACAAACAUUAGGAGACAUAAUAUGUCAUAUAAGUGACUGGAGCUAAAUUGAGUCACCCUACAGCACUGUAUGCAGACCCUGCAGAGACCUUGCAAUAAGGAGGAAUACAAAAAUGCAGAGUGGUCUUAAGUUUUCUGGAAAUACAGGUUUACCCCUUUCCAUUAAAUAACAAGUAAGCAGAAUGAAUAGGAUGAAGGCCAUAAAACAUGAACACCUUUUUGGGAUUUUUUUUUUUUUUUACCUAGUUGGGAUACAUAUAGUAAGCUCGCUGUUCCUUUAGAACCAAAGACACUAUUUAAAAUGAAAUCAGUUUGUUAAUUCUUUUACUAUAAUAAACUGUUUUUUAUUAGUGGAGUUUACCAAUACUGCCUCUAUCUGGAGAAAUAGCUAUAAAUACCCAGGUGACUUACCAGCUACAUUGUUCUUAGUAUCACAUAGCUGAUGAGGCAUUAGCUUUUCCCACCUUUUUUUUUUUUUUUUUUUUAAUAUGUUCUAUCUUAUGCCAUUGAGACCAGGCCGUAGAAAAUAUUUUUUUUAACAGGAUGUAGCAUGUCCUCUGUUACAUCACUGAGGUGACAGCAGAGCUGCUAAUAAGAGGGAACAUUUACCUCUGAGAUUCUACUUAUUCAUUUCUCCACUCAUUUACUUUAAAUGGCUAAAUCAACAUGAAACUAUGUAUCCAGAAAGUCUAAUACAGUAAUAUUCGACAUAUAUCCCUCCCUGGCACAUUGAUAGACUGUAUUUGGUGGAACUACCUCUUUUCUCAUUCACAAUAGGCUUCCUACAGCUCUGAGAGAGAAAUUAAGGGAAAACUGGAACGCUUCAGUUCCGGGAAGAUCCUAAGAUCAAGAUAAAGCUGUAUUUUAUAAAUAAAUUACAUUUUUGAAACCUUUACAGUUUCUUUUAUGGGAUAGAUUUGGCAUCUUCAAAGUGCUAAUGCAUAAAUGCAUGACAAAGAAAUACUUUCCUAAUGAUUAUUUGCACCUUCCAGGAGUGCAAAGCCAUAGCUUGAUUUUACUUCUACACGUUUCCUCUUUGCUAGUGUGGGGAUUGUUGCUGAAUUUCCCUGUGCUUCAGGGACUUCCUCAGUACUGAAGUGUUUGGGGUUGUUACUUAUUUUGCAAGGAGAUUGUCUUGUAAGCUUACUUACCACUUCUGCACUUUUUCUUUUAGAGUGCAGAGAUAAGGCAGCAUCAUGAAAUGAGGACACUCUUCUUCUGGGUCUAAGUGGAUCUCAUCCUUUCCCUUUCCAUGCCUUGGCUUUCUGUUCCUCCUGACCAUAGGACUAGAAGAUAAUUCCAAUUGGAAGGGAUCUCCGGAGGUUUCUAGUCCAAUCUUCUGCUCAUAAUAGGUUCAGUUCUGAGGUCUUACCAAACUUCUGUCUGUCUAGUGCACACCACCCUGAUUUGAGCAAACUCAUCAGUAAACUGGUACUGACACAGGCCUGUAGUUCCCCAGAUCCUCCUUACAGCCCUUCUUGUAGAUGGGAGUCUCAUCAGCAAGCCCUCAAUCCUCUGGGACCUCUCCAGGUAACCUGGAACACUGAUAGACAGUGGAAAGUGGCUCAGUAAUCACCUCCACCAGCUCCAUCAGCACCCUAGGUGGAGACUGUCCUGUCCCAUGAUCUUGUGAAAGUCCAGCAGCUAACUGUCUCUUCCUGAAUCACCAGGACCAUAUUCUGCAUUCUAUCCUAGAUCUCCAGAUCAGGGCGCGAAGUGCACUGAGGCUAAUUGAUCCAACUAUUAAGAUGUAAAAAAAUCAUUGAGAACCUCAGCUUUUCCUUAUCCACAGUGGUCACAUUCCCUGCUGCAUCAAAUAAAGGAUGGAAAUUCUCCUUGGUUCUUCUCUUACCAUUAAUAUAUCUGUAAAAGGAUUUCUUGUUCUCUUUCAGUGCAGUGGCCAAUGGCCAACCUGAGUCCAAGCCAGACUUUUGCCUUUCUAACUUCCUCCCUGCACGUCUUGCAACUUCUUUGUAGUCUCCCCAAGUAGCCUGUCCCUUCUUCCAGAGGACGUAGGCUCUUUUUCUCCUGGAGUCUCAACAAAAGUUCCUGGUUCAUCCAUACCAACCUUCUUCCUCUCCAGCUCACCUUACAGCACUCAGAAACAGCCUGUUCUUGUGCCUUUAAGAUUAUUGUCUUGAGGAGCAUCCAGGCUUCCUGGACCCCUUUACUCUUCAGGAGCAACUCCCAAAGGAUCCCUGUAACAAGUAUCCUGAACAGGUUAACAUCUACCCUCUGGAAGUUUAAGAUAGUAGUUUUGCUAGUCAGCCUUCUGACAUCACCAAGAUGAAAGAACUGCAUGGGAACUGUUGAGUCACAGCCUGAAUCACUGAUUGAGCACCUGGGAAAAAGACCCAGACAGCCCAAGAGCACAGGUGAAGGCAAUUCACCUAUGCAACCAGAAGGGGUAGAGCCUGGCUCCACCUCUCUUAGACCUCAUUUAAGGGCUGAUUGCCACUGUAAAGAAGUUUCUCUUAAUACCCAACCUAAAACUUUCCUGGUGCUACUUAUGGCUGUAUCCCCUCAUCCUGUCACCAGUGUGAAGAGACCAACCCUGCUCUCACUGCUAACACCUUUCA